UGAGUGAAAGGAAAGAAUAGACAAAAGAAAACACAAACAAUGAAUUUCACUUCUAAUAUUUCUUUUUUACGAAGAAUUCUUCUCUUGUCUAUUAUUUUACUACCGUUUGCAGUAUCACAGGAGGAAUGUUCGGUUUGUGGCGAUGGACAAGAAGUAACAAAUUUAAAUGCUGUAUUUGAAUUU
rnacentral:ribozyme from 1 species